rnacentral:lncRNA from 1 species
CCAUAGAGGGCACAUGUUCCCUAAUUGGCCUAGAGCAUAGCGGCUCAUUAUCCUUCUACCGCUGGGGGCGGGCGGUACUCGCUGCUCUGUGAAGCCAGCCUCACGCAAUGUCCGCCACUUUAGGUGUUAGGAUGCAAAGGUGUUCGCCAAGGCACCCGAAACCCACUACACAACUUGGAAUGGGUGGUCCACAGUUUGUAGCACUAGACCCAAGCACAUGCACCACGAUUGACAUCCACACUUCCUUAUUGCCCCCGCUCAGGUUACAAGCAAUCGCUACUUGCUCAGCGAGUUAAGGGGUUCAGGACUGCCUAUUUAAGGUGGUGUUGUACUCUUUGAGGCGGCGAUGUGGUAUUAACCAACAACAAAUAGUGUCAUGCAUGUGAGUUGCUAGUUGGCAAAGUCUGUUGUUGACCUAGCUAUGGGCUAUGGCUGAAGCACAUGACGAUAGAGUAGGCCUAUUAUGUUUUGUUGAUUUUGGGCCUUUGUGGACUUUAUGGUGAUGUCCAGAAAUUUUUUAUGUGUUUCCUCUUCCCAAUGAAGUGGAAAGUGGGUGCGUCAGAGAAGAAAGAAAGAGUGGCUAGCAUUGAUUUUAUGUCAUCCCCUUGAGAACAUUAAUCAAAAGCAGAAGCAACAAUAUUUGAUACAUAUACAACACAUGUAAUCCAUAUAAACAACUUUCCUUCAAAAAUAAUAUAAACCACAUGAUUAUAUCUUAGGUCGGUCAUAUCCACAAAGGGCAAGGACACACACCUAAGUUUGUAGUUUAGAACUAAGAGUGUCUACUCUCACGAUUUCUUCCCGACAUAUGCAAACUGGACACUAAUCACGUAAAGUAAAGACAUAUGUGGUAACACGAACGUAUAGCAUGUAUUUCAACCUAUAGAUUGUUGAUUAUUAUGGUAGAUUAUUUAAUAUAGGGAUUCCCGAAGAAAUACGUAAAAAUGAGAGAAUUAAAUUUUCCUUUUCAGAUUUGGCUAACUGGUAAAAGGAGUUGGAGUAUCUGAGUUUCCAAAUUUGGGACGUACAUGUAUAGAAGGAAUAUAAAUACGUUGGAAAUUUUUCUACAAGGCAAGGUUUAACACAAGUUGGGACAAGAAAAAACCAACGAGGCUUUGAUCGCAUGGUCACAAAACUAGAGACAAGAAACAUGAAGAAACCAAGGUAAUUAGUAUGAGAGUUUUCCAAAUUUGGUGUCUUGAUGUAGAAAAAAUAAAUAUAUGACAAACAUGUUUUUCUACAAGGCAUGGUAUAAUAAGUCGGAGUGAGUAAUAAAUUUCAUCAUAGAUUUAGAAGGAAGAAAUAUAUCACUAAAUAUGUUCUUUCAUAAUGCCAAGUUAAGCAGGUGGGGCCGAGAAAACAAUUCUAGUAAGGCUUGGUUGUACUAACCCCAAACUAGAUACAACAGAGGAAAAAUGAAAAAAUGUUGGUCUACCAAAUAUGGCGCAUGAGCCUUAAGGUGGACCUAGAGGGAAGUAGAAGAAAUAAAUAUAUAACUGAAUAUGUUUUUCGCAAUGCAAGGUAAAGUGUAGAUGUGCUCUAACUAGGCUUAAAUUGCAGCGACACGUUAUCCAUCCACAAAGCUUGGUUGCACAUAGAAAAAAGGUAAAGAGAAAAAUGUAGACGCAGGAUCGGUUGAAAACAUUCAAUGAAGCAUGAUUGCACGGACAUAGAACUAGAUAGAAGAAAAGAGUUAAUUAAAGAAAAAUAAAGGAAGUAAAUUUUCUUUUGCACACAAAGCAUGAAUGGAGUUGUAGUAUCUGAGAUCCCAAAUUUAAUUUGUUCCAAGAUGUAGAACAAAACUGCGAGACUCGUAAUGAUUACAUAGUGUAACACCCCAGGAUCCUCAAACACCCAGAAUGCUACUAAACUACACAUCUAACAGUCAUAUAUAAAAUUUCGAUAACAUCCCCUUUGAAAAUUACAUAAACGGGGAAGCAACAAAAUAUAAAUAGAUAUCAUGAUAAGAGAACAUAAUAGACAUUAAUAAUCUGCUAGCAAUGGAAAGACAACCAUAACGGCAUGAACUAAAUCAACCAGUGCGCACAACUAGUUAGAAACAACAUCCUUUGACAAGAAGUUUCUAAUUAAAUCCUGACUGCGCCUAAGCAGCGUUAUUAUGAGAGUGAAGGUGGAUGUGCUGCUACUUCCCACUUCCCUUGAUGAGCAACAAGCACCUGCAUUGAGUAAUGCAAGAGUGAGAUGAAACAUCUCAGCAAGCGAAUUAUUUUGACAAGAUAUUUAAACCACAAAUUGAAUUAAUCAACAUUUUAAAAGAAUCACAAUUAAGAUCAGAAAUUCUUGUAGAUAUAGAACUCAGUAGUCUCAAUAUAACCAAUACCAUCUCAUUUCCUUAAACAACCACAAUAGUUUGUAUAACACUUCCCUGCGUCAACAAUACCUACAAAUAUCACUUCAAUGUAUGCAUAGGAACACAAAGUGUAGUUACUCUGUCUUCAUACCUCUGAGGGUAUAAAACCACAUCAUAUGCAAAUAUCACUUCAAUGAAUGCAUAUGAAUGCAAUGCAUAUGUCAUCUGCCUUCAUACCUCUAAGGGUAUGAAGCCGCAUCGUACCCCUCCUCGGGCAACGUACGAUGCUAAGUUGUACCGGUACGGUCGGACCAUAGGUCACGACCCAACUUCAGAUGCAAGUGAAUCAUGCAAUGUAUAUGGCAUGCUGCAUUUAUCAAUAUACUUCACUUUCUUCACAUACAAUACAACCUCAAAUAAUACUUCAUUUACCUUCAGAUACAAUACCAACCUCAAAUAAUACUUCAUUUACCUUCAGGGGUGUGAAUUAAUCUCAUGAGUCAUACUCGAAUCAUAAUCAUCAUCAAUAUAUGAUUGAGCAUCAGUAUAAUGCAAGUAAGUAAAGCAUCACCAUAGAGUCCAAUUAUGAAAGAAUCCAAUACUUCUGAAUAUUAGAGUGUAGGCAAUAGAAAUAACAGGUCAGAACGGAAGCAACCACCGCUACAUUCACUUGCCUUCAUCGAAGAAGAAAAAUGUACUAGGCAUGAUCUGGAGUGUAGCCACCUGCUAGCGGGCAUAAAACUUAGUACAAAUAUUUCACAAACAUUUGCCAACAAUUAACAAAUCGAUCCUACACCUGAAACCAAGACCUGGGGGAAAACCUCCCACUCUGAACCACAUGCCAUACAACAGCAAUGUUGUUUGUUAAUUUUGUAUCUUUAAAAUUAUAACAGUGGUGAUAUCAAACAAAUACUCCAUGAGUAUCUACACAAAAUAUUCUACAACUUCGGUAUUCGAUGGAUAAUUAAAUUCUGCCAUCUAUAAGUUCUAAAACAUCUAACAAGAUAACUGACUGAAUCUAUUUUAGACAGCAGCAUAGUUAACUUUCAAAAUUCGAUAUCUCACAAACUACUCAACCAAAAAUCAUGAAAUUCUUCUGAAAGUAAGAAUUUUUAUCCCUCUACAAAAGUCUCCAUAGCUGGGAGAGCCAAUUCGGCCAUUUACUUGAUGAAACCUACCAGUGAACAGACCCGCUCAUUUCUGUUAGGCUAACAGAAACAGCCACAGUAAAACAAACAUAACUGGAGUUUCAUAAUUCAUAUGAAUGCACUCUUUAACAAUCUGGAAAGAUUAUGAAAUUAUCUACAUCUUUUCUUACAAACCUAAGGUUUAAUUCUGUUGAUAAAAUUGCCUAAAUCUUAAGAGAACAGAUUCUGUACAGAAUUAAGAGACUGAAAAACUGCUAUAAUCAAACUGCGAUAACUCUCUGAUCUGAUGUCUGGUUGAGGUGUUCUUCGCGGCCAUGGAAAGAUCUACAAAUUAUCUACGACUUAUAUAUAGACUUUUUAUUUUUUUGAGGCCUCUAAGACCACGGAAAACUGGGAUUAACAGAAACUGUCGAAUCUGCCAUUCUGCAGAAAACUAAAUUCGAGAUCAAAACCUAACCCCACAUCUAAUCCAACCUCUAAUCCUUUAAUUCCCAUGAUCCACAACCUCCAAAAGCACAUAAUUACAGGGAGGAACAAGGAUCUCAUCCAUACCUAGGGUUUCCCCAAGAAAUUCUGCAAGAAGAGAUGGGGAAGAACAUCUCCUUGAUCCUCUCUUCCCCUUCAACUCAAUGUGCUCCUCUUCUCGAUCCUUGUUGCGCGGGGGGAGAUCUAGAGGGAGGAGGAAGCCGUGGAGAGGGGCUGCCAUGGGAGGAGAGGGCAGCCAGCCCAAGGAAAAAGGAGAGAGGGGCGGCCAAGUGUUGGAGGAGGGGAAAGGGUUGGCGACCAAGUAGGGGCAAAAGGGGGAAAAGGCCACCACUAGGGUUUUCUUUGCGGGAGAAAAGAAGCGAUGCCACAGAUGACUCCGACUUAGCAUCCAACGGCCCACAACCCUUUUCCCACAUCCACGCACCGAAAAUCAACCUUUGGCAACAUUUUUUUGGGAUAUUACACUCUACCCGCCUUAAAAAGAAUUCGUCCUCGAAUUCGUCCACUCCAAACAAAACAUCCAUGGUACCCCAUAUAACACCACCAUUCCAAAACAUGGGUCCAUUAUUGGUCUUAAUUAACACAAGAACUUCGACCUCAGACUAAAUGUCUAAGGAAACUACACCACCUGACAUCAAGCAUGAACCAACAUGUAAUGAAGCUCAAACCAAGUCAUAGAUGCAAUCAACACUACGAUUUCACAACAUCGAAUUUGGAUGCAGCCAUACAUCCGCAUCAAUGUCUUAAAACGACACUCUUUGAUGAAGGGGUAAUAUGCACUAAGCACAACCUUUACCAACUUCAACAAUUCAUUUUAAUUUAAUGGUGAAACAUCCACACCAGAUGAAUGUAUAAGAAGAUCAAACACCUCACCUCACAGCACCACGAAACAAUUAGUUCUAUUGAAACAAAACUCCUAAUCUUCCUAAACCUUGUUCUUGCCAUAAUGAAAAUAUAAUCAUGUAAUCUAACAUUCUUUGCACCCCACCGAAAGGGAGAUAAUCUACAGAACUAAUGGAGCAAUAAAACCGACAAGAAGCCAAUAACAUUAUGCACGGCACAGUUCAUCGAAGAAAUGCCAAAAACUCCACAUAGAGCACAGACAGCCCAACGACAACACAAUACUUGCUUAACCCAUGUCACUAUACUUCAUCCAACAACUUAACUAAGAAAAAUAUCCAAACUAGUAAGGUUAACCUACACAUAAUAUAAGUCUUCAUCUACUGUAGUUCAGAAACUUACAUUUCAUUCUAUCAUAUGAUGCACUCCGAGUACCAGACAUAAAAGGUCAAUACUAGCCCGUAAUCCUUCACACAUUUAGAAAACAUCCCAAGCUGAUGUUAAAACCACAUCAUCUAGGAAUAGGUGACUAACCACACACAACCAACUCUAGGCUAAGCAAUGACUUCAUUCAAACCAAUAGAUAAGUGGUCCGACAAUGGCUCCACAAACAUGCAUCGGGAAGAGAACCAUCAAAUCCUCAACGUAUUAAUACAUAAUCAAUGGAUCAAGAAAAAUCAAAGAUUUAUUCUACAAUUAGCAUGACUAACAUGCAACCACUUUAAACCACAUCUAGGCUUUGUGGCUACUAAAACACACGAUAGAAGAGAGAGACAUGUAAGCCAUUCUGGCUAUGUAAAGACUUCCCCCAAAAAUCCAUAUAAAAGUACCAAUAUUCAUUUCUUUGAUAACUGGUUUCUCAACAUAAACAAUCAUUCUUUGUAAAGAUAGUUGGAGCUAUCCACCAACCGCUCAACAACUUAAAUUCAAAUUGAUGAUUACCUUGUACCCCAAAACACGCAAUUCACACUCCUCUUAGAAACAUCCUCAAUAAGGCAUAUAUAACAAUAUUAUUGUAAUAAAACUCAACCAUGAAAAACAUGGUGAAAACAAGAUAGGCAUACUUGUAUAUCACAAGCAUAAUAACAACUUCAUUCUCACAAAUGACCAGCGAUAUCUACAGCAUUAAACAAACAAUAUUAAAAUUUCAGAAAUAAAUUAUAUCAAGCAUUAAGCCAUAAACAACUUACCACAUCACCAUAAAGGAAUAGGGAGGGGUGAGGUUAUUGUCAUCUGCACUUCAAAGACACUAACAUAUAUCAAAGAUAUUUAAACCCAUACCCUUUCUAUAUGUGCGAGUGUGUCAAAUUUAUCUUCAAAUUGCCAAGAAUCUAAAGCCUAUGCUUUGAUACCAAUUGUAACACCCCGGGAUCCUCAAACACCCAGAAUGCUACUAAACUACACAUCUAACAGUCAUAUAUAAAAUUUCGACAACAUCCCCUUUGAAAAUUACAUAAACGGGGAAGCAACAAAAUAUAAAUAGAUAUCAUGAUAAGAGAACAUAAUAGACAUUAAUAAUCUGCUAGCAAUGGAAAGACAACCAUAACGGCAUGAACUAAAUCAACCAGUGCGCACAACUAGUUAGAAACAACAUCCUUUGACAAGAAGUUUCUAAUUAAAUCCUGACUGCGCCUAAGCAGCGUUAUUAUGAGAGUGAAGGUGGAUGUGCUGCUACUUCCCACUUCCCUUGAUGAGCAAAAAGCACUUGCAUUGAGUAAUGCAAGAGUGAGAUGAAACAUCUCAGCAAGCGAAUUGUUUUGACAAGAUAUUUAAACCACAAAUUGAAUUAAUCAACAUUUUAAAAGAAUCACAAUUAAGAUCAGAAAUUCUUGUAGAUAUAGAACUCAGUAGUCUCAAUAUAACCAAUACCAUCUCAUUUCCUUAAACAACCACAAUAGUUUGUAUAACACUUCCCUGCGUCAACAAUACCUGCAAAUAUCACUUCAAUGUAUGCAUAGGAACACAAAGUGUAGGUACUCUGUCUUCAUACCUCUGAGGGUAUAAAACCACAUCAUAUGCAAAUAUCACUUCAAUGAAUGCAUAUGAAUGCAAUGCAUAUGUCCUCUGCCUUCAUACCUCUAAGGGUAUGAAGCCGCAUCGUACCCCUCCUCGGGCAACGUACGAUGCUAAGUUGUACCGGUACGGUCGGACCAUAGGUCACGACCCAACUUCAGAUGCAAGUGAAUCAUGCAAUGUAUAUGGCAUGCUGCAUUUAUCAAUAUACUUCACUUCCUUCACAUACAAUACAACCUCAAAUAAUACUUCAUUUACCUUCAGAUACAAUACCAACCUCAAAUAAUACUUCAUUUACCUUCAGGGGUGUGAAUUAAUCUCAUGAGUCAUACUCGAAUCAUAAUCAUCAUCAAUAUAUGAUUGAGCAUCAGUAUAAUGCAAGCAAGUAAAGCAUCACCAUAGAGUCCAAUUAUGAAAGAAUCCAAUACUUCUGAAUAUUAGAGUGUAGGCAAUAGAAAUAACAGGUCAGAACGGAAGCAACCACCACUACAUUCACUUGACUUCAUCGAAGAAGAAAAAUGUACUAGGCAUGAUCUGGAGUGUAGCCACCUGCUAGCGGGCAUAAAACUUAGUAAAAAUAUUUCACAAACAUUUGCCAACAAUCAACAAAUCGAUCCUACACCUGAAACCAAGACCUGGGGGAAAACCUCCCACUCUGAACCACAUGCCAUACAACAGCAAUGUUGUUUGUUAAUUUUGUAUCUUUAAAAUUAUAAAAGUGGUGAUAUCAAACAAAUACUCCAUGAGUAUCUACACAAAAUAUUCUACAACUUCGGUAUUCGAUGGAUAAUUAAAUUCUGCCAUCUAUAAGUUCUAAAACAUCUAACAAGAUAACUGACUGAAUCUGUUUUAGACAGCAGCAUAGUUAACUUUCAAAAUUCGAUAUCUCACAAACUACUCAACUAAAAAUCAUGAAAUUCUGCUGAAAGUAAUAACUUUUAUCCCUCUACAAAAGUUUCCAUAGCUGGGAGAGCCAAUUCGGCCAUUUACUUGAUGAAACCUACCAAUGAACAGACCCGCUCAUUUCUGUCAGGCUAACAGAAACAGCCACAGUAAAACAAACAUAACUGGAGUUUCAUAAUUCAUAUGAAUGCACUCUUUAACAAUCUGGAAAGCUUAUGAAAUUAUCUACAUCUUUUCUUACAAACCUAAGCUUUAAUUCGGUUGAUAAAAUUGCCUAAAUCUUAAGAGAACAGAUUCUAUACAGAAUUAAGAGACUGAAAAACUGCUAUAAUCAAACUGCGAUAACUCUCUGAUCUGAUGUCCGAUUGAGGUGUUUUUCGCGGCCACGGAAAGAUCUACAAAUUAUCUACGACUUAUAUAUAGACUUUUUAUUUUUUUUGAGGCCUCUAAGACCACGGAAAACUGGGAUUAACAGAAACUGUCGAAUCUGCCAUUCUGCAGAAAACUAAAUUCGAGAUCAAAACCUAACCCCACAUCUAAUCCAACCUCUAAUCCUUUAAUUCCCAUGAUCCACAACCUCCAAAAGCACAUAAUUACAGGGAGGAACAAGGAUCUCAUCCAUACCUAGGGUUUCCCCAAGAAAUUCUGCAAGAAGAGAUGGGGAAGAACAUCUCCUUGAUCCUCUCUUCCCCUUCAACUCAAUGUGCUCCUCCUCUUCUCGAUCCUUGCUGCGCGGGGGGAGAUCUAGAGGGAGGAGGAAGCCGUGGAGAGGGGCUGCCAUGGGAGGAGAGGGCAGCCAGCGCAAGGAAAAAGGAGAGAGGGGCGGCCAAGUGUUGGAGGGGGGGGAAAGGGUUGGCGACCAAGUAGGGGCAAAAGGGGGAAAAGGCCACCACUAGGGUUUUCUUUGCGGGAGAAAAGAAGCGACGCCACAGAUGACUCCGACUUAGCAUCCAACGGCCCACAACCCUUUUCCCACAUCCACGCACCAAAGAUCAAUCUUUGGCAACAUUUUUUUGGGAUAUUACACAUAGGGACAAAAGUAGUUAAGAAAAAUAGCAAAAAGAUAGUGGUCUACCAUAGAGGGCACAUGUUCCCUAAUUGGCCUAGAGCAUAGCGGCUCAUUAUCAUUCCACCGCUGGUGGCGGGCGGUACUCGCUGCUCUGUGAAGCCACCUCACGCAAUGUCCGCCACUUUAGGUGUUAGGAUGCAAAGGCGUUUGCCAAGGCACACGAAACCCACUACACAACUUGGAAUGGGUGGUCCACAGUUUGUAGCACUAGACCCAAGCACAUGCACCACAAUUGACAUCCACACUUCCUUAUUGCCCCCGCUCGGGUUACAAGCAAUCGCUACUUGCUCAGCGAGUGAGGGGGUCCAGGACUGCCUAUUUAAGGUGGUGUUGUACUCUAUGAGGCGGCGAUGUGGUAUUAACCAACAACAAAUAGUGUCAUGCAUGUGAGUUGCUAGUUGGCAAAGUCUGUUGUUGACCUAGCUAUGGGCUGUGGCUGAAGCACAUGACGAUAGAGUAGGCCUAUUAUGUUUUGUUGAUUUUGGGCCUUUGUGGACUUUAUGCUGAUGUCCAGAAAUUUUUUAUGUGUUUCCUCUUCCCAAUGAAGUGGAAAGUGGGUGCGUCAGAGAAGAAAGAAAGAGUGGCUAGCAUUGAUUUUACGUCAUCCCCUUGAGAACAUUAAUCAAAAGCAGAAGCAACAAUAUUUGAUACAUAUACAACACAUGUAAUCCAUAUAAACAACUUUCCUUCAAAAAUAAUAUAAACCACAUGAUUAUAUCUUAGGUCGGUCAUAUCCACAAAGGGCAAGGACACGCACCUAAGUUUGUAGUUUAGAACUAAGAGUGUCUACUCUCACGAUUUCUUGCCGACAUAUGCAAACUGGACACUAAUCACGUAAAGUAAAGACAUAUGUGGUAACACGAACCUAUAGCAUGUAUUUCAACCUAUAGAUUGUUGAUUAUUAUGGUAGAUUAUAUAAUAUAGGGAUUCUCGAAGAAAUACGUAAAAACGAGAGAAUUGAAUUUUCCUUUUCAGAUUUGGCUAACUGGUAAAAGGAGUUGGAGUAUCUGAGUUUCCAAAUUUGGGACGUAGAUGUAUAGAAGGAAUAUAUAUACGUUGGAAUUUUUUCUACAAGGCAAGGUUUAACACAAGUUGGGACAAGAAAAAACCAAUGAGGCUUUGAUCGCAUGGUCACAAAACUAGAGACAAGAAACAUGAAGAAACCAAGGUAAUUAGUAUGAGAGUUUUCCAAAUUUGGUGUCUUGAUGUAGAAAAAAUAAAUAUAUGGCAAACAUGUUUUUCUAGAAGGCAUGGUAUAAUAAGUGGGAGUGAGUAAUAAAUUUCAUCAUAGAUUUAGAACGAAGAAAUAUAUCACUAAAUAUGUUCUUUCAUAAUGCCAAGUUAAGCAGGUGGGGCCGAGAAAACAAUUCUAGUGAGGCUUGGUUGUACUAACCCCAAACUAGAUACAACAGAGGAAAAAUGAAAAAAUGUUGGUCUACCAAAUAUGGCGCAUGAGCCUUAAGGUGGACCUAGAGGGAAGUAGAAGAAAUAAAUAUAUAAUUGAAUAUGUUUUUCGCAAUGCAAGGUAAAGUGUAGAUGCGCUCUAACUAGGCUUAAAUUGCAGCGACACGUUAUCCAUCCACAAGGCUUGGUUGCACAUAGAAAAAAGGUAAAGAGAAAAAUGUAGACGUAGGAUGGGUUGAAAAACAUUCAAUGAGGCAUGAUUACACGGACAUAGAACUAGAUAGAAGAAAAGACUUAAAGAAAAAUAAAGGAAGUAAAUUUUCUUUUGCACACUAAGCAUGAAUGGAGUUGUAGUAUCUGAGAUCCCAAAUUUAAUUUGUUCCAAGAUGUAGAACAAAAUUGCGAGACUCGUAAUGAUUACAUAGGGACAAAAGUAGUUAAGAAAAAUAGCAAAAAGAUAGUGGUCUACCAUAGAGGGCACAUGUUCCCUAAUUGGCCUAGAGCAUACUGGCUCAUUAUCCUUCCACCGCUGGUGGCGGGCGGUACUCGCUGCUCUGUAAAGCCAGCCUCACGCAAUGUCUGCCACUUUAGGUGUUAGGAUGCAAAGGCAUUCGCCAAGGCACCCGAAACCCACUACACAACUUGGAAUGGGUGGUCCAUAGUUUGUAGCACUAGACCCAAGCACAUGCACCACAAUUGACAUCCACACUUCCUUAUUGCCCCCGCUCGGGUUACAAGCAAUCGCUACUUGCUCAGCGAGUGAGGGGGUUCAGGACUGCCUAUUUGUAAUAUCCCAAAAAAAAUGUUGACCAAAAGUUAAUCUCUGGUGCGUGGAUGAGGUAAAGGGUUGUGGGCCAUUGGAUGCAAAGAUAGAAGUCAUCUGAGGCGUCGUUUCUUUCUCCCACAAAAACCCUAGGUGGCCACCCUUUUUUUUCCCUUCACCCCCCCCCCCCCCCUCUUGGUCGCCACCCCCUUUUUCUCCCCCUUGGCUGGACGCCCCCUCCCCCUAUGGCAGCCAUCCUCCAUUGCUUCCUCCCCCAAGAUCUCCCCCUACGCAGCAAGGUUCAAGAAAAGGAGGGGCACGUUGAAUUGAAGAGGAAGAGAGGAUCAAGGAGAUGUUCUUCCCCAUCUCCUCUUGAAGAUUUCUUGGGGAAACCCUAGGUAUGGAUGAGAUCCUUGUUCCUCCCUGUAAUUAUAGGCUUUUGGAGGUUGUGGAUCAUGGGAAUUAAAGGAUUAGAGGUUGGAUUUGAUGCGGGGUUAGGUUUUGAUCUCGAAUUUAGUUUUCUGCAGAAUGGCAGAUUCGACAGUUUCUGUUCAUGCCAGUUUUCCGUGGUCUUAGUGGCCUCAAAAAAAUAAAAAGUCUAUGUAUGAGUCGUAGAUAAUUUGUAGAUCUUUCCGUGGCCGCGAAGAACACCUCAAUCGGACAUCCGACCAGAAAGUUAUUGCAGUUUUACUAUAGCAGUUUUUCAGUCUCAUAAUUCUGUGCAGAAUCUGUUCUCUUAAGAUUUAGGCAAUUUUAUCAACAGAAUUAAACUGUGGGUUGGUAAAAGAAGUUGUAGAUAAUUUUAUAAGCUUUCCAGAUUGUUAAAGAGUGCAUUCAUAUGAUUUGUGAAACUCCAGUUAUGUUUGUUUUACUGUGGCUGUUCCUGUUUACCUGACAAAAAUGAGUGGGUCUGUUCACUGGUGGGUUUCAUCUAGUAAAUGGCCGAAUUGGCUCUUCCAACUAUGGAGACUUUUGUAGAGGGAUAAAAGUUCUUACUUCCAGCAGAAUUUCAUAAUUUUUGGUUCAGCAGUUUUGGAGAUAUCGAAUUUUAAAGUUAACCAUACUGCUGUCUAAAACAGAUUCAGUCAGUUAUCUUGUCAGAUGUUUUAGAACUUGUAGAUGGCAGAAUUUAAUUAUCUAUUGAAUACUGAAGUUGUAGAGUAUUUUGUGUAGAUACUCCUAGAGUAUUUGUUUGAUAUCACCGCUGUUUUAAUUUUAAAGAUACAAAAUUAACAAACAGCGUUGCUGCUGUAUGGCAUGUGGUUCAGGGUGGGAGUCUUUCCACUGGGUCUUGGUUUCAAGUGUAGGAGUGUUUUGUUGAUUGAUGGCAAAUGUUUGUGAAAUAUUUGUACUAAGUUUUAUGCCCACUAGCAGGUGGCUACACUCCAGAUCAUGUCUAGUACAUUUCUUCUUCUUUGAUGAAGGCAAGUGAAUGUAGCGGUGGUUGCUUCCGUUCUGACCUGUUAUUUCUAUCGCCUACACUCUAAUAUUCAGAAGUAUCAGAUUCUUUCAUAAUUGGACUCUAUGGUGAUGCUUUACUUGCUUGCAUUAUACUGAUGCUCAAUGAUAUAUUGAUGAUGAUUAUGAUUUGAGUAUGACUCAUGAGAUUAAUUCACACCCCUGAAGGUAAAUGAAGUAUUAUUUGAGGUUGGUAUUGUAUCUGAAGGUAAAUGAAGUAUUAUUUGAGGUUUGUGUUGUAUCUGAAGGAAGUGAAGUUUAUUGAUAAAUGUAGCAUGCCAUAUACAUUGCAUGACUCAUUUGCAUAUGAAGUUUUGUCGUGACCUAUGGUCCGACCGUACCGGUACAACUUAGCAUCGUACGUUGCCCGAGAAGGGGUACGAUGCGGCUUCAUACCCUUAGAGGUAUGAAGGCAGAGGACAUAUGCAUUGCAUUCAUAUGCAUUCAUUGAAGUGAUAUUUGCAGAUGAUGUGGUUUUAUACCCCCAGAGGUAUGAAGAUAGAGUACCUACACAUUGCAUUCCUAUGCAUACAUUGAAGUGAUAUUUGCAGGUAUUGUUGACUCAGGGAAGUGUUAUAGAACCUAUUGUGGUUGUUCGAGGAAAUGAGAUGGUAUUGGUUAUAGUGGGACUACUGAGUUCUAUAUCUACAAGCAUUUCUGAUUUUUAAUUGUGACUCUUUUAAAAUGUUGAUGAAUUCAAUUUGUGGUUUAAAUAUCUCGUCAGAACAAUUAGCUUGCUGAGAUGUUUCAUCUCACUCUUGCAUUACUCAAUGCAGGUGCUUGUUGCUCAUCAAGGGGAGUGGGAAGUAGCAGCACAUCCACCUUCAUUCUCAUAAUAAUGCUGCCCAGACGCAGCCAUGAUUUAAUUAGAAACUUCUUGUCAAAGGAUGUUUGUUUUUAACUAGUCGUGCGCACUGAUUAAUUCAGUUCAUGUUGUUAUGGUUGUCUUCCCAUUGCUAGCAGAUUAUUAAUGUCUUAUAUGUUUUCUUAUCAUGAUAUCUAUUUAUACUUUGUUGCUUCCCCCGUUUAUGCAAUUUUCAAAGGAGAUGCUGUCGAAAUUUUAUAUAUGAAUAUUAGAUGUGUAGUUUAGUAGCAUUCUGGGGUGUUUGUGGAUCCCGGGGUGUUACAGUUGGUAUCAAAGCAUAGGCUUUAGAUUCUUGGCAAUUUGAAGAUAAAUUUGACACACUUGCACAUAUAGGAAGGGUAUGGGUUCAAAUAUCUUUGAUAUAUAUUAAUGUCUUUGGAGUGCAGAUGACAAUAGUUUCACCCCUCCCUAUUCCUUUAUGGUGAUGUGGUAAGUUGUUUAUGGCUUAAUGCUUGAUAUAAUUUAUUUCUGAAAUUUUGAUAUUGUUUUAUUAAUGCGGUAGAUAUCGCUGGUCAUUGGUGAGAAUGAAGUUGUUAUUAUGAUUGUGAUAUACAAGUAUGCCUAUGUUGUUUUCACCAUGUUUUUCAUGGUUGAGUUUUAUUACAAUAAUAUUGUUAUAUAUGCUUGAUUGUGGAUGUUUCUAAGAGGAGUGUGAAUUGCGUGUUUUGGGGUACAAGGUAAUCAUCAAUUUGAAUUUAAGUUGUUGAGCGGUUGGUGGAUAGCUCCAACUAUCAUUGCAAAGAAUGAUUGUUUAUGUUGAGAAACCAGUUUUGAAAGAAAUGAAUAUUGGUACUUUAUAUGGAUUUUUGGGGGAAGUCUUUUCAUAGCCAGAAUGGCUUACAUGUCGCUCUCAUAUUGUGUGUUUUAGUUGCCACAAAGCCUAGAUGUGGUUUAAAGUGGUUGCCUGUUAGUCAUACUAAUUGUAGAAUAAACCUUUGAUUCUCUUGAUCCAUUGAUUAUGUAUUGAUACAUUGAGGAUCUGAUGGUUCCCUUUUCGAUGCAUGCUUGUGGAGCCAUUUUUUUAGACCACCUAUCUAUUGGUUUGAAGGAAGUCCUUGCCUAGCCUAGAGUUGGUUGGGUGUGGCUAGUCACCUAUUCCUAGAUCAUGUGGUGUUUACAUCAGCUUAAUAUGUUUGUCAAAUGUGUGAAGGAUUAGGGGUUAUUAUUAUUGACUUUGUAUGUCUGGUACUUUGAGUGCAUCGUAUGAUAGAAUGAAAUGUAAGUUUCUGAACUACAGUAGAUGAAGACUUAUAUUAUGUGUAGGUUAUCCUUACUAGUUGGAUAUUUUUCUUAGUUGAGAUGUUGAAUGAAGUAUAGUGACAUGGGUUAAGCAAGUAUUGUGUUGUUGUUGGGCUAUCAGUGCUCUAUGUAGAGUUUUUGGCAUUUCUUCGAUGAACUAUGCCGCACAAGAUGUUAUUGGCUUCUUUUGGCUUUAUUGCUCCAUUAGUUCUAUAGAUUUUCUCCCUUUUGGUGGGGUGCAAGGAAUGUUAGAUUACAUGAUUAUCUUUUCAUGAUGGCAAGAAUAAGGUUUAGGAAGAUUAGGAGUUUUGUUCCAAUAGAACUACUUGUUUCAUAGUGCUUUAAGGUGAGGCGUUUGAUCUUCUUAUACAUUCGUCGGGUGUAGAUGUUUCACCAUUUAAUUAAAAUUAAUGGUUGAAGUUGGUAAGGGUUGUGCUUGGUGCAUAUUACCCCUUCAUAAAAGAGUGUUGUCUUAAGACAUUGAUGUUGAUGUAUAGCUGCAUCCAAAUUUGAUGGUGUGAAAUUGGAGUGUUGAUUGCAACUAUGACAUGCUUUGAGCUUCAUUACAUGUUGUUUCAUGCUUGAUGUCAGGUCGUGUAGUUUCCUUAGACAAUUAGUCCAAGGUAGAAGUUCUUGUGUUAAUUAAGACCAAUAAUGGACCCAUGUUUUGAAUUGUGGUGCUAUAUGGGGUACCUUGGGUGUUUUGCUUGGAGUGGCCGAAUUCGAGGUCGAAUUCUUUUUAAGGGGGGUAGAGUGUAAUAUCCCAAAAAAAAUGUUGACCAAAAGUUAAUCUUUGGUGCGUGGAUGAGGUAAAGGGUUGUGGGCCAUUGGAUGCAAAGAUAGAAGUCAUCUGAGGCGUCGUUUCUUUCUCCCACAAAAACCCUAGGUGGCCACCCUUUUUUUUCCCUUCACCCCCCCCCCCCCCCUCUUGGUCGCCACCCCCUUUUUCUCCCCCUUGGCUGGACGCCCCCUCCCCCUAUGGCAGCCAUCCUCCAUUGCUUCCUCCCCCAAGAUCUCCCCCUACGCAGCAAGGAUCAAGAAAAGGAGGGGCACGUUGAAUUGAAGAGGAAGAGAGGAUCAAGGAGAUGUUCUUCCCCAUCUCCUCUUGAAGAUUUCUUGGGGAAACCCUAGGUAUGGAUGAGAUCCUUGUUCCUCCCUGUAAUUAUAGGCUUUUGGAGGUUGUGGAUCAUGGGAAUUAAAGGAUUAGAGGUUGGAUUUGAUGCGGGGUUAGGUUUUGAUCUCGAAUUUAGUUUUCUGCAGAAUGGCAGAUUCGACAGUUUCUGUUCAUGCCAGUUUUCCGUGGUCUUAGUGGCCUCAAAAAAAUAAAAAGUCUAUGUAUGAGUCGUAGAUAAUUUGUAGAUCUUUCCGUGGCCGCGAUGAACACCUCAAUCGGACAUCCGACCAGAAAGUUAUUGCAGUUUUACUAUAGCAGUUUUUCAGUCUCAUAAUUCUGUGCAGAAUCUGUUCUCUUAAGAUUUAGGCAAUUUUAUCAACAGAAUUAAACUGUGGGUUGGUAAAAGAAGUUUUAGAUAAUUUUAUAAGCUUUCCAGAUUGUUAAAGAGUGCAUUCAUAUGAUUUGUGAAACUCCAGUUAUGUUUGUUUUACUGUGGCUGUUCCUGUUUACCUGACAAAAAUGAGUGGGUCUGUUCACUGGUGGGUUUCAUCUAGUAAAUGGACGAAUUGGCUCUUCCAACUAUGGAGACUUUUGUAGAGGGAUAAAAGUUCUUACUUCCAGCAGAAUUUCAUAAUUUUUGGUUCAGCAGUUUUGGAGAUAUCGAAUUUUAAAGUUAACCAUACUGCUGUCUAAAACAGAUUCAGUCAGUUAUCUUGUCAGAUGUUUUAGAACUUGUAGAUGGCAGAAUUUAAUUAUCUAUUGAAUAUUGAAGUUGUAGAGUAUUUUGUGUAGAUACUCCUAGAGUAUUUGUUUGAUAUCACCGCUGUUUUAAUUUUAAAGAUACAAAAUUAACAAACAGCGUUGCUGCUGUAUGGCAUGUGGUUCAGGGUGGGAGUCUUUCCACUGGGUCUUGGUUUCAAGUGUAGGAGUGUUUUGUUGAUUGAUGGCAAAUGUUUGUGAAAUAUUUGUACUAAGUUUUAUGCCCACUAGCAGGUGGCUACACUCCAGAUCAUGUCUAGUACAUUUCUUCUUCUUUGAUGAAGGCGAGUGAAUGUAGCGGUGGUUGCUUCCGUUCUGACCUGUUAUUUCUAUCGCCUACACUCUAAUAUUCAGAAGUAUCAGAUUCUUUCAUAAUUGGACUCUAUGGUGAUGCUUUACUUGCUUGCAUUAUACUGAUGCUCAAUGAUAUAUUGAUGAUGAUUAUGAUUUGAGUAUGACUCAUGAGAUUAAUUCACACCCCUGAAGGUAAAUGAAGUAUUAUUUGAGGUUGGUAUUGUAUCUGAAGGUAAAUAAAGUAUUAUUUGAGGUUUGUGUUGUAUCUGAAGGAAGUGAAGUUUAUUGAUAAAUGUAGCAUGCCAUAUACAUUGCAUGACUCAUUUGCAUAUGAAGUUUUGUCGUGACCUAUGGUCCGACCGUACCGGUACAACUUAGCAUCGUACGUUGCCCGAGAAGGGGUACGAUGCGGCUUCAUACCCUUAGAGGUAUGAAGGCAGAGGACAUAUGCAUUGCAUUCAUAUGCAUUCAUUGAAGUGAUAUUUGCAGAUGAUGUGGUUUUAUACCCCCAGAGGUAUGAAGAUAGAGUACCUACACAUUGCAUUCCUAUGCAUACAUUGAAGUGAUAUUUGCAGGUAUUGUUGACUCAGGGAAGUGUUAUAGAACCUAUUGUGGUUGUUCGAGGAAAUGAGAUGGUAUUGGUUAUAGUGGGACUACUGAGUUCUAUAUCUACAAGCAUUUCUGAUUUUUAAUUGUGACUCUUUUAAAAUGUUGAUGAAUUCAAUUUGUGGUUUAAAUAUCUCGUCAGAACAAUUAGCUUGCUGAGAUGUUUCAUCUCACUCUUGCAUUACUCAAUGCAGGUGCUUGUUGCUCAUCAAGGGGAGUGGGAAGUAGCAGCACAUCCACCUUCAUUCUCAUAAUAAUGCUGCCCAGACGCAGCCAUGAUUUAAUUAGAAACUUCUUGUCAAAGGAUGUUUGUUUUUAACUAGUCGUGCGCACUGAUUAAUUCAGUUCAUGUUGUUAUGGUUGUCUUCCCAUUGCUAGCAGAUUAUUAAUGUCUUAUAUGUUUUCUUAUCAUGAUAUCUAUUUAUACUUUGUUGCUUCCCCCGUUUAUGCAAUUUUCAAAGGAGAUGCUGUCGAAAUUUUAUAUAUGAAUAUUAGAUGUGUAGUUUAGUAGCAUUCUGGGGUGUUUGUGGAUCCCGGGGUGUUACACUAUUUAAGGUGGUGUUGUACUCUAUGAGGCGGCGAUGUGGUAUUAACCAAUAACAAAUAGUGUCAUGCAUGUGAGUUGCUAGUUGGCAAAGUCUGUUGUUGACCUAGCUAUGGGUUGUGGUUGAAGCACAUGACGAUAGAGUAGGCCUAUUAUGUUUUGUUGAUUUUGGGCCUUUGUGGACUUUAUGCUGAUGUCCAUAAUUUUUUUUGUGUUUCCUCUUCCCUAUGAAGUGGAAAGUGGGUGCGUCAGAGAAGUAAGAAAGAGUGGCUAGCAUUGAUUUUACGUCAUCCCCUUGAGAACAUUAAUCAAAAGCAGAAGCAACAAUAUUUGAUACAUAUACAACACAUGUAAUCCAUAUAAACAACUUUCCUUCAAAAAUAAUAUAAACCACAUGAUUAUAUCUUAGGUCGGUCAUAUCCACAAAGGGCAAGGACACGCACCUAAGUUUGUAGUUUAGAACUAAGAGUGUCUGCUCUCACGAUUUCUUCCCGACAUAUGCAAACUGGACACUGAUCACGUAAAGUAAAGACAUAUGUGGUAACACGAACCUAUAGCAUGUAUUUCAACCUAUAGAUUGUUGAUUAUUAUGGUAGAUUAUAUAAUAUAGGGAUUCCCGAAGAAAUACGUAAAAACGAGAGAAUUAAAUUUUCCUUUUCAGAUUUGGCUAACUGGUAAAAGGAGUUGGAGUAUCUGAGUUUCCAAAUUUGGGACGUAGAUGUAUAGAAGGAAUAUAAAUACGUUGGAAAUUUUUCUACAAGGCAAGGUUUAACACAAGUUGGGACAAGAAAAAACCAAUGAGGCUUUGAUCGCAUGAUCACAAAACUAGAGACAAGAAACAUGAAGAAACCAAGGUAAUUAGUAUGAGAGUUUUCCAAAUUUGGUGUCUUGAUGUAGAAAAAAUAAAUAUAUGACAAACAUAUUUUUCUACAAGGCAUGGUAUAAUAAGUGGGAGUGAGUAAUAAAUUUCAUCAUAGAUUUAGAAGGAAGAAUUAUAUCAAUAAAUAUGUUCUUUCAUAAUGCUAAGUUAAGCACGUGGGGCUGAGAAAUCAAUUCUACCGAGGCUUGCUUGUACAAGCCCCAAACUAGAUACAACAGAGGAAAAAUGAAAAAAUGUUGCUCUACCAAAUAUGGCGCAUGAGCCUUAAGGUGGACCUGGAGGGAAGUAGAAGAAACAAAUAUAUAACUGAAUAUGUUUUUUGCAAUGCAAGGUAAAGUGUAGAUGCGCUCUAACUAGGCUUAAAUUGCAGCGACACGUUAUCCAUCCACAAGGCUUGGUUGCACAUAGAAAAAAGGUAAAGAGAAAAAUGUAGACGUAGGAUGGGUUGAAAAACAUUCAAUGAGGCAUGAUUACACGGACAUAGAACUAGAUAGAAGAAAAGACUUAAAGAAAAAUAAAGGAAGUAAAUUUUCUUUUGCACACUAAGCAUGAAUGGAGUUGUAGUAUCUGAGAUCCCAAAUUUAAUUUGUUCCAAGAUGUAGAACAAAAUUGCGAGACUCGUAAUGAUUACAUAGGGACAAAAGUAGUUAAGAAAAAUAGCAAAAAGAUAGUGGUCUACCAUAGAGGGCACAUGUUCCCUAAUUGGCCUAGAGCAUACUGGCUCAUUAUCCUUCCACCGCUGGUGGCGGGCGGUACUCGCUGCUCUGUGAAGCCAGCCUCACGCAAUGUCCGCCACUUUAGGUAUUAGGAUGCAAAGGCAUUCGCCAAGGCACCCGAAACCCACUACACAACUUGGAAUGGGUGGUCCACAGUUUGUAGCACUAGACCCAAGCACAUGCACCACAAUUGACAUCCACACUUCCUUAUUGCCCCCGCUCGGGUUACAAGCAAUCGCUACUUGCUCAGCGAGUGAGGGGGUUCAGGACUGCCUAUUUAAGGUGGUGUUGUACUCUAUGAAGCGGUGAUGUGGUAUUAACCAACAACAAAUAGUGUGUAGUCUAGAAAUUUUUAUGUGUUUCCUCUUCCCUAUGAAGUGGAAAGUGGGUGCGUCAGAGAAGUAAGAAAGAGUGGCUAGCAUUGAUUUUACGUCAUCCCCUUGAGAACAUUAAUCAAAAGCAGAAGCAACAAUAUUUGAUACAUAUACAACACAUGUAAUCCAUAUAAACAAUUUUCCUUCAAAAAUAAUAUAAACCACAUGAUUAUAUCUUAGGUCGGUCAUAUCCACAAAGGGCAAGGACACGCACCUAAGUUUGUAGUUUAGAACUAAGAGUGUCUGCUCUCACGAUUUCUUCCCGACCUAUGCAAACUGGACACUGAUCACGUAAAGUAAAGACAUAUGUGGUAACAUGAACCUAUAGCAUGUAUUUCAACCUAUAGAUUGUUGAUUAUUAUGGUAGAUUAUAUAAUAUAGGGAUUCCCGAAGAAAUACAUAAAAACGAGAGAAUUAAAUUUUCCUUUUCAGAUUUGGCUAACUGGUAAAAGGAGUUGGAGUAUCUGAGUUUCCAAAUUUGGGACGUAGAUGUAUAGAAGGAAUAUAAAUACGUUGGAAAUUUUUCUACAAGGCAAGGUUUAACACAAGUUGGGACAAGAAAAAACCAAUGAGGCUUUGAUCGCAUGGUCACAAAACUAGAGACAAGAAACAUGAAGAAACCAAGGUAAUUAGUAUGAGAGUUUUCCAAAUUUGGUGUCUUGAUGUAGAAAAAUAAAUAUAUGAUAAACAUGUUUUUCUACAAGGCAUGGUAUAAUAAGUGGGAGUGAGUAAUAAAUUUCAUCAUAGAUUUAGAAGGAAGAAUUAUAUCACUAAAUAUGUUCUUUCAUAAUGCCAAGUUAAGUAGGUGGGGCCGAGAAAUCAAUUCUUGCGAGGCUUGGUUGUACUAGCCCCAAACUAGAUACAGCAGAGGAAAAAUAAAAAAAAUGUUGGUCUACCAAAUAUGGCGCAUGAGCCUUAAGGUGGACCUGGAGGGAAGUAGAAGAAAUAAAUAUAUAACUGAAUAUGUUUUUCGCAAUGCAAGGUAAAGUGUAGAUGCGCUCUAACUAGGCUUAGAUUGCAGUGACACGUUAUCCUUCCACAAGGCUUGGUUGCACAAUGAAAAAAAGGUAAAGAGAAAAAUGUAGACGUAGGAUGGGUUGAAAACAUUCAAUGAGGCAUGAUUGCACGGACAUAGAACUAGAUAGAAGAAAAGACUUAAAUAAAAAUAAAGGAAGUAAAUUUUCUUUUGCACACUAAGCAUGAAUGGAGUUGUAGUAUCUGAGAUCCCAAAUUUAAUUUGUUCCAAGAUGUAGAACAAAAUUGCAAGACUCAUAAUGAUUACAUAGGGACAAAAGUAGUUAAGAAAAAUAGCAAAAAGAUAGUGGUCUACCAUAGAGGGCACAUGUUCCCUAAUUGGCCUAGAGCAUAGCGGCUCAUUAUCCUUCCACCGCUGGUGGCGGGCGGUACUCGCUGCUCUGUGAAGCCAGCCUCAUGCAAUGUCCGCCACUUUAGGUGUUAGGAUGCAAAGGCAUUCGCCAAGGCACCCGAAACCCACUACACAACUUGGAAUGGGUGGUCCACAGUUUGUAGCACUAGACUCAAGCACAUGCACCACUAUUGACAUCCACACUUCCUUAUUGCCCCCGCUCUGGUUACAAGCAAUCGCUACUUGCUCAACGAGUGAGGGGGUUCAGGACUACCUAUUUAAGGUGGUGUUGUACUCUAUGAGGCGGCGAUGUGGUAUUAACCAACAACAAAUAGUGUCAUGCAUGUGAGUUGCUAGUUGGCAGAGUCUGUUGUUGACCUAGCUAUGGGUUGUGGCUGAAGCACAUGACGAUAGAGUAGGCCUAUUAUGUUUUGUUGAUUUUGGGCCUUUGUGGACUUUAUGCUGAUGUCCAGAAUUUUUUUAUGUGUUUCCUCUUCCCUAUGAAGUGAAAAGUGGGUGCGUCAAAGAAGAAAGAAAGAGUGGCUAGCAUUGAUUUUACGUCAUCCCCUUGAGAACAUUAAUCAAAAGCAGAAGCAACAAUAUUUGAUACAUAUGCAACACAUGUAAUCCAUAUAAACAACUUUCCUUCAAAAAUAAUAUAAACCACAUGAUUAUAUCUUAGGUCGGUCAUAUCCACAAAGGGCAAGGACACGCACCUAAGUUUGUAGUUUAGAACUAAGAGUGUCUACUCUCACGAUUUCUUCCCGACAUAUGUAAACUGUACACUGAUCACGUAAAGUAAAGACAUAUGUGGUAACACGAACCUAUAGCAUGUAUUUCAACCUAUAGAUUGUUGAUUAUUAUGGUAGAUUAUAUAAUAUAGGGAUUCCCGAAGAAAUACGUAAAAACGAGAGAAUUAAAUUUUCCUUUUCAGAUUUGGCUAACUGGUAAAAGGAGUUGGAGUAUCUAAGUUUCCAAAUUUGGGAUGUAGAUGUAUAGAAGGAAUAUAAAUAUGUUGGAAAUUUUUCUACAAGGCAAGGUUUAACACAAGUUGGGACAAGAAAAAAGCAAUGAGGAUUUGAUUGCAUGGUCACAAAACUAGAGACAAGAAACAUGAAGAAACCAACGUAAUUAGUAUGAGAGUUUUCCAAAUUUGGUGUCUUGAUGUAGAAAAAAUAAAUAUAUGACAAACAGGUUUUUUGCAAGGCAUGGUAAAAUAUGUGGUUGUGAGCAAUGAAUUUCGUCCUAGAUUUAGAAGGAAUAAAUAUAUCACCAUAUAUGUUUUUUCAUAAUGCCAAGUUAAGCAUGUGGGACCGAGAAAAUAAUUCUAGCGAGGCUAGGUUGUACUAGCCCAAAACUAUAUACAACUAAGGAAAAAUAAAAAAUGAUGGUCUACCAAAUAUGGCGCAUGAGCCUUAAGGUGGACCUAGAGGGAAGUAGAAGAAAUAAAUAUAUAACAGAAUAUGUUUUCACAAUGUAAGGUAAAGUGUAGAUGUGCUCUAACUGGGCUUAGAUUGCAGCGACAUGUAAUCCAUCCACAAGGCUUGGUUGCACAUGGAAAAAUAUAGAGAGAGAAAUGUAGACGUAGGACCAAGAGAAAAACAAUCAAUGAGGCGUGAUUGCAUGAACAUAUAACUAGAUAGAAGAAAAGAGUUAAAGAAAAAUAAAGGAACUAAAUUUUCUUUUGCACACUUACCAUGAAUGGAGCUGUAGUAUCUGUGAUCUCAAUUUUAAUUUAUUCCAAGAUGCAGAAUUAUGUUGCGAGACUCGUAAUGGUUACAUAGGGAUAAAAGUAGAUAAGAAAAAUAGCAAAAAGAUAGUGGUCUACCAGAGAGGGCACAUGUGCCCUAAUUGGCCUACAGCAUAGCGGCUCAUUAUCCUUCCACCGCUGGUGGAGGGUGGUACUCGCUGCUCUGUGAAGUCAACCUCAUGCAAUGUCCGCCACUUUAGGUGUUGGGAUGCAAAGGCUUUUGCCAAGGCACACGAAACCCACGACAGAACUUGGAAUGGGUGGUCCACAUUUUGUAGCACUAGACCCAGGCUCAUGCACCACAAUUGACAUCCACACUACCGUAUUGCCCCCUCUCAGGUUACAAGCAAUCGCUACU